GGUCCGAUGUUUUUCUCUACCACUGUUACUAUGAAAAGUAUCAGAAAUAAUGUACUGUUUAGUUAAUAGAAGUUUUUAUUGAUAAUCACCUGGAUUGUAUGAAACAACCGAUCCUUUAGUUUUCCUUUCGUGGCUAGGUGUUCUAACUGGAUACCCUACUUCGAGUAUUCUUUUUUCUACCGUUAAUGUGUUCGCUGUUACACUUCUGUUAUUACCAUGUAAGAUGAAUAAAACAGAUGUCAGGUUGUAUGUUACAUAAGGUAUCAUAUCAUUACUUAAUUAUUAAUAAGGAUAAGUUAUCCUACGUCGAUUACUCCUCAAUUUUUUAUCCUUUUAGCUAGUAUUACCAUCGGAAAGGUAACUGCUAAUAUGACUUCGGAAAUUUCCACGUGAACUAUUUUUUCCCGUUUUGAAGCUCCAAUGAUACUACUUUUCAUAACCUCGCCUCAUUUACAAAGAGUCCCUUAUUGAAAACAACCCUUUAGACUGGUUCUUUUAGAAGUCAAACUUCAUGCGUACCACUUUCUAUUACAUCUUCUACAGUUUCUACUACAUCUCCUGCAGUUUCCACUACAUUUCCUUCAGUUUCCACUACAUCCCCUACAGUCUCCAGUCUACCGAUACUAACGACGUAAGGAACGGUUUUUCAAAGGACCUCUCUAAACGUCUUUACUUCACCUAAGAGGAUGUCCUUUAAUAGUUCAAUCGUAUAGUUUUCGUCAAUAUAAACACGUUUCUACUUUAAUUACUUGUGACUAUACGAUAAUGUUAUUAAAAUAACGUCCAGUGAGGUGUACUGUCUCUAUUGUUAGAGGUUAGACUUAGAAUAUUACAAGAACUUGUUAGUUUAUUACUACACGUCCUCGGUGUUUGAUGGUACGUCCAUUACAUUACCCGAAAAAUACAUGAUAAAUUACGUCUAGGUAAGAUUACAGAAUCUUGAUAACGAAAUUAUCCUCAACGUCGUUUGCUUUAGUUUUCUCCCAACACCGUUACGCGUAAAUGGUGUACUUGUACACUAGUGAUUCCACACAAUUGAUUGAACAUGAGUUAAUAGUUAAUAGAGGACGGUCAUUAAAACCCUAACCAACUUGGGAAAAUCAUCAAUUUAUAACCUUUCGAUAGAAUAGUAGUUCAAUUUUGAAACACUUUAUAAUUGGAAAACCAAACGUUGACAUUGGACAAACCCAAGCAUAUAUGGAAGGAUCAUUAGAAUUGGAUGCACGUUCCUGAAUAGAUCUAAAAAUAGUUACUACUGCUACUGUAGAAAAGGAUAAUUUAGCGUCUUACAGGUACGACUUUUAUUAGAACGUCACGUCGUUCCACCGGGACUUGGUUCAAAUGCUGAAGUGGUUCAGUGAUUGGUCCAUUUGUAUACGAUGUAUAGAUUUACUGUUACUAACAUGUUCUCCAACAGAUUAAAACAUACAUUCACGUUCCAUUUACUGUAAUAAUACUUUGUGGUUAGGGUAAAACUGUUCCAGCAAAGUUUUUUACAGCACUGUGGCGAUCGUCUAGUAUUCAGCCUAAGUUGGUUCAUAAUUUUUUAACAUAACGUAUGUUGUCGUUGUACUAAACCGGGCUACCCUGGUUUUCAAUCAGUGUGUGCAUAGUAACGACGAGGUUC
rnacentral:rRNA from 1 species